GUGACAGCAGCCGCGGUAACACGUAGGGGGCGAGCGUUGUCCGGAUUUAUUGGGCGUAAAGAGCUCGUAGGCGGCUCGGUAAGUCAGGUGUGAAAACUCUAGGCUCAACCUAGAGACGCCACCUGAUACUGCUGUGGCUAGAGUCCGGUAGGGGAGCAUGGAAUUCCUGGUGUAGCGGUGAAAUGCGCAGAUAUCAGGAGGAACACCAGUGGCGAAGGCGGUGCUCUGGGCCGGAACUGACGCUGAGGAGCGAAAGCGUGGGGAGCAAACAGGAUUAGAUACCCCCGUAGUCC
rnacentral:rRNA from 1 species